UACGUAGGGUGCAAGCGUUGUCCGGAAUUAUUGGGCGUAAAGAGCUCGUAGGCGGUUUGUCGCGUCUGCUGUGAAAUCCCGAGGCUCAACCUCGGGUCUGCAGUGGGUACGGGCAGACUAGAGUGCGGUAGGGGAGAUUGGAACUCCUGGUGUAGCGGUGGAAUGCGCAGAUAUCAGGAAGAACACCGAGGGCGAAGGCAGAUCUCUGGGCAGGAACUGACGCUGAGGAGCGAAAGCGUGGGGAGCGAACAGG
rnacentral:rRNA from 1 species